UGUAAUUAACCCUCACACCAUGAUUCAAUGAAAGGAUUGGCAACCCACCUCUCAAUAUGCUGGUAUAUAACAAGGGGAAGCCAUCAAAACUGGCCGAGUAGUUGUGAGAUUGCAUCAGUGAUCAUGUUAAUCCGAAUCAUYCUGGCUCUAUUUCUACUAUGCGGUAUAUUUCAAUAUAUUUGGGCUUAUGGUACUCCUCUGGGUGACAGAGUGAAACCAGGUGGCAAAAAACGAGAGCUAAAGAACCGUGUAUCGUUGGACAGUUUAUGUCGGACAGCAAGAAAGUAUUGCCAUGGCACUAAAGUCCAUUUACACAGGCCCAAAUACACUGAAAGAUAUCCAAUACAAGAAUAGAAGAUACAUUAUAUUUUGUUUAAUAUUAAAUGAUUUAUAAUUGUUUAGAUUAAUACUACGGACAAAGAGCUCAUCGAAUGUAACACAAUUCAAUGUUAUAAACGUUCCUUGUAAAUUCUCCUUAAAUCUACUAAAGCUCAAGAAAUCGAGAGGAAUGAAUUCACAGAAAGAAAAACGAUACAAAUAAAAUAUUAUCAUUGUGCAAUA